AUAUGGCCCGGCUGACCUUGGCUCGUGAACCCCGCCAGGUCGGAAACGAAGCAACGGCAGCGUAGAUCGCGGUGCAGCCGGGCCACCCUCU
rnacentral:SRP_RNA from 2 species